rnacentral:lncRNA from 1 species
AAUGGAUCCCCAGGGACAGGUAGAUUCUCACAGGUCUGCCUGUAGCCAUGCUGUGUGUCCAAUCCUGUGCUGCUAACCACAGAUACGGAAUUGGCUUAUGAGAUGGUGAAGACUGGGGAAUGUCCUCAUCUGCCAUUCGGUAAACUGGAGACUCAGGAAAGUCAGCGGUAUGAGUUGAUCUGAUGGAAGCUUGAGAAGAUGGUG